UACAGAGGGUGCAAGCGUUAAUCGGAAUUACUGGGCGUAAAGCGUGCGUAGGUGGUUUGUUAAGUCUGAUGUGAAAGCCCUGGGCUCAACCUGGGAAUGGCAUUGGAUACUGGCGAGCUAGAGUGCGGUAGAGGGUAGUGGAAUUCCCGGUGUAGCAGUGAAAUGCGUAGAGAUCGGGAGGAACAUCUGUGGCGAAGGCGACUACCUGGACCAGCACUGACACUGAGGCACGAAAGCGUGGGGAGCAAACAGG
rnacentral:rRNA from 1 species